UACAGAGACUGCAAGCGUUAUUCGGAUUCACUGGGCGUAAAGGGUGCGCAGGCGGUUGGGUGUGUCAGAUGUGAAAUCCCGAGGCUCAACCUCGGAACUGCGUCUGAAACUACUCGACUAGAGUACUGGAGAGGGUAACGGAAUUCACGGUGUAGCAGUGAAAUGCGUAGAUAUCAGGAGGAACACCGAUGGCGAAGGCAGGUCUCUGGGCUGACACUGACGCUCAUGCACGAAAGCGUGGGGAGCA
rnacentral:rRNA from 1 species